rnacentral:lncRNA from 1 species
UCGCGGUGACAGAAUGCUGUUAUGUCCCUGGAGAGUGCUCCCCCAGGAGUUAUGUGCCCGGAGUUCUGUCCCUGGCCCUUUCACCUUCCACGGAACCAGAAGCAUGAAAGAUGGGAUGACGCAUUUUAGAAGAAAGUCUUUCUCUUUAUUGAUGUCGAACUUCAUCUGCCUUAUAGCGAUGAAAAGAUAUUCCCUUAGUCUUUGCCCAGCUCUUCUUCCAGGGAAACAGUCUUUGAUAGCGCUCUUGCCCGACUUUUCGUGAUUU